CCUGUUUCAACGGAGAAAGCAAGGACCACAGAAAGCUUGAAUGUGUCAAAGUUCAAGAAGUUCCUCCCAGUAUAACCUCUCCCAGGAGUCCUGAGUCUGUUAAGACAUCUAAUGCUAAGGUGGCAACUGAAGAAUCAGAGAGUUCGAAAAAUGGACCAGUUCAUAAGGUAUCAAGUUUGAAAGACCAUGAGAUGGGACUACCAACUCUUGAACCAAGACCAACCGGAGACAUUGAUUUGAUUAAUAAGCAGAC
rnacentral:misc_RNA from 1 species